rnacentral:lncRNA from 1 species
UUGUGGAUGAUAUUGAGGGGCCCGGAUUUAAGAUAGAAAGAAGAAGAAAAAAUGUUUAUGAAAUGGGAGAUGAGAAGAUGAACAGACUAUACCGGAAGAGUGGCUCUGAUACCUCUUGAUACGCCUUAGAAAGGAUCACUCAACCGGAUUGGAAAAGAUAUGAACUCCGAAGGAGAUCUGAUGGAUUGAUGGGUCGCAAAAAGGUUUCGGAUUGGCCUUUGAUACUCCUGAACCAGAUCGUUGCCGGAUGUGACGCACUGGUCCAACAAAGUGGCUAUCUCGAACCGUUGCUUGAUAUGACUCACAAGACCAACGGACAAGAAGAGUUUGCUUGGAGCUAACCACACCAAGAAAACAAGAGAAGUUCUAAUCGAAGAACAAAGAGUAAAGACUCAAAAAGUUGAACGAAAAUGGAAUGAUUUUAUUAUGAGAAGUGUUUGCAUAUUUAUACUAGAAAGAGACAUAAGAAUAUAUUAAUGAUAGAUCUAGAAAUCGGAUCUGGAUCAGAAAAUUAAAGACAAUGUAUUUGGAUCUCAGAUCUGGUCAAAGAGACUCUUUGGCUAACGUCCAGGUUCGUCUGAACUUAGUGGUUCCUUCGCGGUAAGGAGCAGGACGGUCUUGGCGCGAUCCGGACAGUCCGUUGGGUAAGGCUCAUGCGCCAACUUGGUUCUAGCACGACCCAAGUCUU